CUCGAGAGUGCUAGCUUGCACGAAAGGCACUGGACGGCUGAUUUGUGCUCCUUCCUUUAGAUCACCCAAACUCUUUCAGAUCAGAAGAUGGAAUAAUAAGAGGAGAUGGUGGUGUAAAAAGUACAGAACAAGACCCUCUUGAUUUUUCUUCUCAUAAAAUUUUAGAGCCGAAACCUUAGAAUCCUAGCCUAGAACUCACGCCCA
rnacentral:lncRNA from 1 species